UCAAAAGAAGAUGACAUGUCUGCUGCACGUUAGCACUUUUCCUGUUAAUUUUCAGCUCACAGCCUCACACUUAUGCCAACGUAUAGGGAAGUGAACAUUUUCUCACCAUCCCUCACACACUGUGCUGUACUGAUAAAAUCAUAUCAUGGUUAGCUACUGUCCAAUCUGUGGGAAGCCUGUCUACUUUGGAGAAAGGAAGAGGUCAUUAGGAAGAGACUACCACCCACUGUGUCUCAAAUGUCACAAGUGUAACAGACAACUCAACGCUGGACAAUGCAGAGGUAUAUGGCAAAGGAAAUAUAGUAUAUAGAAAUGUAUAAAUUAAAUGAAUUCUAUUUUUUUAUUUCAGUAUGACGAGAAGCCAUACUGCUCCUACUGCUACUUAAAGAUGUUUGGUCCUAAAGGUAACAGGUAACCAUUGGUAACCACCUGACCUACAAACCAACCAUUAAAGAAAAAAAAAAAUUUCACCAAUAGAUAAGGAUGUCCUCAUGCUCUAAAGAUGGACAACAUCUACCAGCCAUGAUGAUCUAAAAAGUGGAAAUUGUACUCCAAAACCCUAAUGUAAUAACAUGUAAUUACUCUCCAAAUCAGACCACCUGUAUUUGCCCCCAAAUACUCAAAAUGGGUGAUACUUAUAAAAAAAAAUAAAUGUAUGUUAUUGUUUGGAUUUAUUUAAAAUGCUUAAACAUAAAAUAUGAAAAUUAAUGUAAAAGAAAAAACAUAAAGUACUAAAGACAACUACCUUUA